GAUGAACGCUGGCGGCGUGCCUAAUACAUGCAAGUCGAGCGAACGGACGAGAAGCUUGCUUCUCUGAUGUUAGCGGCGGACGGGUGAGUAACACGUGGAUAACCUACCUAUAAGACUGGGAUAACUUCGGGAAACCGUAGCUAAUACCGGAUAAUAUUUUGAACCGCAUGGUUCAAAAGUGAAAGACGGUCUUGCUGUCACUUAUAGAUGGAUCCGCGCUGCAUUAGCUAGUUGGUAGGGUAACGGCUUACCAAGGCAACGAUGCAUAGCCGACCUGAGAGGGUGAUCGGCCACACUGGAACUGAGACACGGUCCAGACUCCUACGGGAGGCAGCAGUAGGGAAUCUUCCGCAAUGGGUGAAAGCCUGACGGAGCAACGCCGCGUGAGUGAUGAAGGUCUUCGGAUCGUAAAACUCUGUUAUUAGGGAAGAACAUAUGUGUAAGUAACUGUGCACAUCUUGACGGUACCUAAUCAGAAAGCCACGGCUAACUACGUG
rnacentral:rRNA from 1 species